rnacentral:rRNA from 1 species
CCUACGGGCGGCAGCAGUGAGGAAUAUUGGUCAAUGGGCGCAAGCCUGAACCAGCCAAGUCGCGUGAGGGAUGACGGUCCUAUGGAUUGUAAGCCUCUUUUGUCGGGGAGCAAGGCCCGCCACGUGUGGCGGGAAGGAGAGUACCCGAAGAAAAAGCAUCGGCUAACUCCGUGCCAGCAGCCGCGGUAAUACGGAGGAUGCGAGCGUUAUCCGGAUUUAUUGGGGUUAAGGGGUGCGUAGGCGGAAGGUUAAGUCAGCGGUCAAAUGUCGGUGCUCAACACCGGCCUGCCGUUGAAACUGGUCGUCUUGAGUGAGCGAGAAGUAUGCGGAAUGCGUGGUGUAGCGGUGAAAUGCAUAGAUAUCACGCAGAACUCCGAUUGCGAAGGCAGCAUACCGGCGCUCAACUGACGCUGAGGCACGAAAGCGUGGGGAUCGAACAGGAUUAGAUACCCCUGUAGUC